GAGAGCGCGGGGAGCCGGGUGGGAGAGGGGAAGGGGGCCGCACAGCCAGCGGUGCCCGGGGGUCGACGCAGAUGAGGGGCGCAGAGCGGCUACUAAAGAGCUGCAGGGCCAAGCAACGCUCCAGCCUCCAGCAGCAGCCGGCCAGCUGCGCAGCCCAAAUCGGGGGCCACCCUUUCCGCCACCACACCUCCGCCCUGCGGAGAAAGAGAGGGCGGGAGCUCUCCCAACCGCAUGGGGCUCAGCCCAGGAGCUGCUGGACAGAAGGCAGGUGACCCUCCGGAGAGGACCCACCUGAUGGGGGACUGCAUGGCUGAGCUGUGGGAUGAGAAGCCCGUGCUGGACAUGAGAUGUGGUGUCACAUCUGAGGACUCCGCAAAGGCCCUUUCGGUUACCGGGAGGCACCAUAGGGUGUUCGUUCAGUCAGACACCGCAGAUAGAUUCGCCAUUCAGAAAAAGAGAGAUCCAGAGAGGCCUUGGAGGGACUGGUGUAAAACACUCUGAAAAAGGAGAAAGAGGAAGACAAAUGGUGGGGACCGGUAGUGGGCCAAGCAGGGGGUUGGGCUUUGCCAGGCUAAACCCCAAAUGUCAGGAAUGGGCAGGUUCUGUAUUCUGGGCAGUAUUCUGUGUUCUCAUAGCUUAUCUGUGAUUUCCCCCUCAAAAUGUAACAUGCCAAAGCCACUACCCGUGCACUUUCCCACCUACAUCACCGACUGGAAUGGUGCCCAAGACAGAAGUGGGCAGAAGCCCUUACUAGUUGAUGUGUAAUGAGCAUGGUGGUUCUCAGGCCAGGUCCUCUUGGUCUGGGAAUCAGAGAACUGGCUCUAAUUGCAAUCCCAGCAGAGGGGCCAAAGGGGGUGUGGACCUGAUCACCCCUAGAAGCGGUCCCUAAAGCGCCGCUCCACAAAGCAGCAUGGCGGGAGCAUGCUCUGUGGCCCACGCUGUGCCUGCUCUGUGGAGAGGGAGGACUUUGGAUCACCUUUCACAUGCACUAAACUCACUGAAUAGAGAGAGAUUUCUGUUAAAAAGCAGCUCAGUAGGUCACUGGAUUUCGCUCAGCCGACAGCGGCGAGUGGGAUCUAAGCCGGCACGUGGAGGAGCCUCACCUUUGCCAUGCUGGCUUGGCAGGGGAGCCGAACUCCAUUCUGCAGGGCCGCAUGGGCUCCAGCCCCCUUGCAGCGGCAUGCGGGGCAAGGCUAUAAUAAUCAUUCCAUUAAGCAAAGAAAAAUACAAUCAGCCCACGCUACCCAGUGGGAUGGGAGAACUAAACAGCUCUGUCAAGGACUGGGAAAGCAGCUGAUGUAACUGCCGGCCUGGCUGGCUGAGAAAGGAGAAAGCAAGCACAAAAGGCAGAAUGGAAAUGGAAGGGGGACAGUGUCAUCUUCCAAAGGAUCUGUCCUCUCCCCCGCAGUUAUGCUAAGAGGGCAUUUUGAGAUGCCCUGUUGCAUGGGCUCUUAGAGGGGAGCAGGCAGCACAUCAGGUAUUUGUAGUCACCAAACUGCCUGGCUCGUGAGUCCUGGGAGUUUCCAAACCUGCCUCCACAUCGGCUCCUCGCACUCCCCCAGAGAUCACAGGCAGGAGCCAAGGGCAGAAGCGGGACAAGCUCCGUGCAACGUUUUCGAUCCACAAAAAAAGCGAUAACUGGGGGGGUUUCGAGGACGUGCUGGGUAGCGUGUCAGCAGGGGAAGUGAGUGAAAAUUUUCAGCUGAAACUUUUUUCAGUGAAAAAUGCAGGUUUGACAAACCAGAAAAAUGUACCAAAUUCAUGUCAGUUUCACGGAAUUGUGUUCGUCGAAAAUCA